UACGGAGGGUGCGAGCGUUGUCCGGAAUCACUGGGCGUAACGGGCGCGUAGGCGGCAUGAUAAGUAGGGGGUGAAAUCCUGCGGCUUAACCGCAGGGCUGCCUUCUAAACUGUCAGGCUAGAGCACAGUAGAGGCAGGUGGAAUUCCCGGUGUAGCGGUGGAAUGCGUAGAGAUCGGGAAGAACGCCAAGGGCGAAGGCACUCUGCGAGGCCUGAGUGCGCGACUGACACUCAGGGACGAGAGCCAGGGGAGCGAAUGGG
rnacentral:rRNA from 1 species